rnacentral:tRNA from 1 species
GGGGCUGUAGCUUAGUAGUAGAGCUCUUGCCUGGUAUGCAUGAGGCCCUAGGUUCAAUCCCUAGUUCUGCCA